ensembl:lncRNA
CUUUUCUAGGGCCACACCCGUGGCAUAUGGAGGUUCCCAGGCUAGGGAUCUAAUCAGAGCUACAGCUGCUGACCUACACCACAGCUUCAGCAACGCAGGAUCCAAGCCACGUCUGCGACCUACACCACAGCUCACGGCAACGCCCGAUCCUUAACCCACUGAGCGAGGCCAGGGAUCGAACUCACAACCUCAUGGUUCCUAGCUGGAUUCAUUAACCACCAAGCCACAAUGGGAACUCCAUCACUUGUUUCUUAAUAAAGAAUUAAAACAGGUUGGUAAUGUGCUAGAACCAUGGGAUAGCCUAGGAUCUUGAAGAUCAUGUGGUCCAAUUCCUUGCAUAUUCAGGGAAUCCAAAAACAUGGAAAGAAUUGUUCAAAGUAACAGAAAACCAGUGGAAGAGGUAGAACUGAGGUUCAGACCUCUUCAUGUCCAGUCCAGGUCCUUUGUCACCCACACAAUGUUUACUACAAACUGUCUGACUCUUAAGGUCCCCGUAGGCCCUCUUGAAGAAACAUCAAAAAGUUUAUAAGUCAAAUUAAUGCUACUUGUGGCAUUUUAUCAAAAUGUAGUAUAUCAGUGUUCCCACCAUGGUGCAGUGGGUUAAGAAUAUGACUGUAGCAGGUCAGUUUGCUGAGGAGGUCCAGUUUUGAUCCCUGGUCUGGCAUAGUGGGUUAAAGGAUCCAGUGUUGCCACAGCUGUAGUGUAAGUUGCAGCUGUGGCUUGGGUUCAGUUCCUGGCCUGGGAACAUCCAUAUACUGUGGCUGUGGCCAUAAAAUGAAAAAAAUUAAAUACAAUACAAUAGAGUAAACUAAAAUACACUUGAUCCUUUAAACUGUGUAUCAGUUUGCAGCUGGAGACAUAACCAAUGCAUUAGAGAAAUCUUGAUAGUUUCUGUUAACUGAUAGUGGAUUUGUAAAGUAGAAGACAGGAGGAGAUAGUAUAGUUGCUUAUUGGAGCAAGAUAGAUUUGGGAGAUAAGAGAUGGGCACAUGGAGUUCCUGCUGUGGCACAAUGGCAUCUGUGGCACCUUGGCAGCCCUGGGAUGCAGGAUGGAGCCCUGGCCCAGCACAGUGGGUUAAGGAUCCUGAGUUGCCACAACUGCAGCUCAGAUCUAUGCCCUGGCCUGGGAACUCCACAUGCCUUGAGGCAGCCAAAAAAAAAAAAAGGCACACACACACACACACAAAGGAAAAGGUCGCAUAAUAAAUGGAUGAACUGAAUUGCUCUGGGCCAGGCUUUGAUGAAAAAGCCUUCAAGGCAAGAUUAAGAGGAUGACACAAAAAGAAUGUUGAGUAAUUUUCCUGGGAGCAGCAGGUAGAUUGAGCAGAAAAAGAGAUAAGAAGAGUGAAGAAGUUGAUUUACUUAGAAUGCCAGCCUGGAAGAUUUGCAAGUCUUUCAGGGAGCCAGCUGUCCUCUAUGAGUUCAUCCACCUGGAAUAACACAACAUGCCUUCUGACAAGGGUGGACUCCACGUGCACUGCCCUCAGGAAGAGCUGUUUUGCUAAGUUCUUGGAUAAACAGUUGCUAAUGAGCAGGUUCAAUCAUUACACUAGAAGGGAGAAAUGAAAAUAAUGAUGUGGGCAGAAAGCCUCUGCCAAAGCAGUCUUUGGGCUAAACUACAAAAAGUGGAUUAGAUUGCAAGGCAUGAUGGAACCCUCAUAGAAAAGAUGGCAGCAUGGCCAUUAGAAUGGAAUGACGGAAAACUAAGUUGUCUACAGAGCCUGGAGAAGGCUAUAGUGGGCAAUUUUAAAAGACUGAGAAAGCUCAGAUGUGAUUCCCAUUGGCAUGGGAAUCAAAUGGUUCUCCUCAGUGGGCUGGGCCUGGUCCUCUGAGCGAUUUCACCCAUCUCUGUCCUGCCAAUUGCAGGGUCUUCUUCCUGGAUAACAGUGCCAUUUUGGGAGGCAGGCACAUGACUCACAUAGUGAGGAUGCUGCAUUAGAAUCAGGAAUCAACACAGAAUGUUUGAUGGUCUAUAUUGGACCUGUUCUGCAGUCAUUCCUGGACCCUGGUUACCUCCUAUCUCUAGGGAGUUAUCUAGACACAAGACUUGGGUCUUUAACAUGUUAAAUGAAAUCAAGACUCUCUGUCCCUGGCCUUGGAAACUCCAAAGCUCCUUUGGGGGGCUUAGAUUUUAAAAGAAGUUUCUGGAAAGCAAAGACAGUCUAUCAAAGCCCAAUGGCACUUGUCCCAGUUUUGUCAUCCACAGUUAGGCAGCUGGUAGAGGGGUCACAGAGAAGACGCACAUGUGGUGGGCCCUACACUUCUGACAACGUCACUCACAUGUCAGAUGCACUUCAUUCAGGCAUGCAGAGACCCUUUUUCUUUGGUACUAGGAACAAACCAGUUUCUUGAUAACAGAUAUGAAGUCUGCCCACUAGGCUAUUGAUAGAGAAAGGGAAAGGGCAUAAAUGCCUGUAGGUUCUGGAGGGAACACAGUGUGUGAGCCUGUGUGUGUGGACAGAGCCAGGUAAAGAUAACAGAUGAAUGCUGAAAGAAGCUUCUUUGCUCAGUAUGCUUAUCUCAUAGGGAUGGGAGUAUUAAAUACAAGUAUGCCGAUGAAGUAAUUACACAGUGUCUUGUAGACAGUGAACAUUCAGGUCAUGGUGGCUGCUACUCUAAGCAAUAACCAUAAAGAGUGCUUGUGUUGGUCAGAAGAGAUCUGAUAGCAAGUGACAGAACCUCAGUGUAAACCAUCUUAAACAAAAGGGAAGGUUUUUUUUGUUUUGUUUUGUUCUUUAAUGUAUGUGUCAGAAAGAGAGAAAUCACCAUUAGAUAUCUGAGGGAAUAAUAUUUAGGAAAUAGUUUCACAAAUGUUGGAAGGCUGAAAGGGCAAAAAGGGAACAGAGAUGGUAACUGCAGGAAGAAGCUGUCUCCCCCAGGCCAGGGGACUAAAACAAAAGGGGGACAUUUCCAGAACCCUGGAUCUCCGAGCAGCGGCUGUGGAGUUGAUGCUCAGACUUUGAGGAAGGGGCAACUCCCAUCCCAGCCCUCUGAGAGGCCAUGAUAAAUCAGCUACUGGGAGUGAGUGCCACGGAAGCUGAGAGCUACAGUUAACUGUCACUAAUGGGAAGACACUGAUAAUAACAACCAGAGACCAGGAAAGAAGGCCCUGCUCCUCCGAGGCUUUCUUAUCUCUCGCUAGUGCCUCCCAGGAGCUAUCAAGGAGCCAGCUGGCAUAGGGGUCUGGGAAAGGCAGUUUAUAGACUACAGACAGGUGGGUUGGAACUAAGAGACAACGAGUAACUAAUUGGCAAAUUGGCUCAUGGAAUGCAAAGAAGGUUCAACCCAGAAACCACUGGAAGCAGGACUUGGAUGUUGCCAGCAUUUUAUUCCUCUCCUCUCCUCCUUUUCACCCUUUUCACUGAUCACCAGCUUAGGCACUACUAUUCUCUGCAGAAGCACAUGGCAGCUUACUUACAUCUCCCCAAACUAACUCCCAACAAUUCUGGCCACCAGAGAGAGCCUGGUGCAGUUUUUGUUUGUUUUUU